CCUGGUGGCUCAGAUGGCAGAGCAUCUGCCUGCAGUGCAGGAGACCCAGGUUGGAUCCCUGGGUCAGGA
rnacentral:tRNA from 1 species